GGUUUCUUUUUUGGCAAACCGGAGUGUCAGCUUGGUAGUGGGAGUCUUCACGAUGACUGCUACUUGGGUUGGAGGUGCCUUCAUCAUUGGUAUUGCAGAGUCUGUCUAUGACCCCACCAGAGGUCUAAUAUGGGCCCUUGUUCCUCUGCAAAUUUCCAUUUCCUUCAUCAUCGGUGGACUGUUCUUUGCAAAGCCAAUGAGGGAGAACCAUUACAUCAGUAUGAUGGAUCCCUUUCAGAGGAAGUAUGGAAACAAACUGACUGCGGUUCUUGCCAUCAUUCCUCUCAUAACGGAAGUUGUCUGGAUUC